rnacentral:rRNA from 1 species
CCGCAUAACGUAUCGAGGGGGCAUCCCCAUGAUACCAAAGGAUUUAUUCGCUGAAAGAUGGGCUCAUAUCUGAUUAGUUAGUUGGUGAGGUAACGGCUCACCAAGACUGCGAUCAGUAGCCGGACUGAGAGGUUGAACGGCCACAUUGGGACUGAGAUACGGCCCAGACUCCUACGGGAGGCAGCAGUGGGGAAUAUUGGACAAUGGGCGAAAGCCUGACCCAGCAACGCCGCGUGAAGGAAGAAGGUCUUCGGAUUGUAAACUUCUUUUAUGAGGGACGAAGGACGUGACGGUACCUCAUGAAUAAGCCACGGCUAACUACGUGCCAGCAGCCGCGGUAAUACGUAGGUGGCGAGCGUUAUCCGGAUUUACUGGGUGUAAAGGGCGCGUAGGCGGGGAUGCAAGUCAGAUGUGAAAUCUAUGGGCUUAACUCAUAAACUGCAUUUGAAACUGUAUCUCUUGAGUGCUGGAGAGGUAGACGGAAUUCCUUGUGUAGCGGUGAAAUGCGUAGAUAUAAGGAAGAACACCAGUGGCGAAGGCGGUCUACUGGACAGUAACUGACGCUGAGGCGCGAGAGCGU